rnacentral:rRNA from 1 species
GGUUCAGGACGAACGCUGGCGGCGCGCCUAACACAUGCAAGUCGAACGGAGUUAUUUUGGCAGAAGCCUUCGGGUGGACGCUGAUAUAACUUAGUGGCGAACGGGUGAGUAACACGUGAGCAACCUGCCCUUCAGAGGGGGACAACAGUUGGAAACGACUGCUAAUACCGCAUAAGACCACGGUGUGGCAUCACACAGAGGUCAAAGGAGAAAUCCGCUGAAGGAUGGGCUCGCGUCCAAUUAGCUAGAUGGUGAGGUAACGGCCCACCAUGGCGACGAUUGGUAGCCGGACUGAGAGGUUGAUCGGCCACAUUGGGACUGAGACACGGCCCAGACUCCUACGGGAGGCAGCAGUGGGGAAUAUUGCACAAUGGAGGAAACUCUGAUGCAGCGACGCCGCGUGAGGGAAGAAGGUCUUCGGAUUGUAAACCUCUGUUGUCAGGGACGAUAAUGACGGUACCUGACGAGGAAGCCACGGCUAACUACGUG